rnacentral:rRNA from 1 species
AUUGAACGCUGGCGGCAUGCCUUACACAUGCAAGUCGAACGGUAACAGGUCUUCGGAUGCUGACGAGUGGCGAACGGGUGAGUAAUACAUCGGAACGUGCCCAGACGUGGGGGAUAACGAGGCGAAAGCUUUGCUAAUACCUCAUACGAUCUAAGGAUGAAAGCAGGGGACCGCAAGGCCUUGCGCGUUUGGAGCGGCCGAUGGCAGAUUAGGUAGUUGGUGGGAUAAAAGCUUACCAAGCCGACGAUCUGUAGCUGGUCUGAGAGGACGACCAGCCACACUGGGACUGAGACACGGCCCAGACUCCUACGGGAGGCAGCAGUGGGGAAUUUUGGACAAUGGGCGAAAGCCUGAUCCAGCAAUGCCGCGUGCAGGAUGAAGGCCUUCGGGUUGUAAACUGCUUUUGUACGGAACGAAAAGGCUCUGGCUAAUACCUGGGGCACAUGACGGUACCGUAAGAAGAAGCACCGGCUAACUACGUG